GCCUAGUUAGCUUGGUUGGUAGCGCGUCUGUCUUGUAAGCGCUAGGCCGCGGGUUCGAUUCCCGCCCGGGGCG
rfam:Asian citrus Psyllid, Diaphorina citri - Florida Strain, whole genome shotgun sequence.